rnacentral:rRNA from 1 species
GUGGGGAAUCUUGCGCAAUGGGCGAAAGCCUGACGCAGCCAUGCCGCGUGAAUGAUGAAGGUCUUAGGAUUGUAAAAUUCUUUCACCGGGGACGAUAAUGACGGUACCCGGAGAAGAAGCUCCGGCUAACUUCGUGCCAGCAGCCGCGGUAAUACGAAGGGGGCUAGCGUUGCUCGGAUUUACUGGGCGUAAAGGGCGCGUAGGCGGACAUUUAAGUCAGGGGUGAAAUCCCGGGGCUCAACCUCGGAACUGCCUUUGAUACUGGGUGUCUUGAGUAUGAGAGAGGUGUGUGGAACUCCGAGUGUAGAGGUGAAAUUCGUAGAUAUUCGGAAGAACAACAGUGGCGAAGGCGACACACUGGCUCAUUACUGACGCUGAGGCGCGAAAGCGUGGGGAGCAAACAGGAUUAGAAACCCGAGUAGUCC